rnacentral:tRNA from 1 species
AAAAUUUUAAGUUAAUUAAAACUAUUAAUUUUCAAAGUUAAAAAUAAAUAUUUAAUUUAAAUUUUA